GACGAACGCUGGCGGCGUGCUUAACACAUGCAAGUCGAACGGAAAGGCCCUGCUUUUGUGGGGUGAUCGAGUGGCGAACGGGGGAGUAACACGUGAGUAACCUGCCCUUGACUUUGGGAUAACUUCAGGAAACGGGGGCUAAUACCGGACAGGAGACCCCGCUGCAUGGAGGGGGUUGGAAAGUCUCGGCGGUUGGGGAUGGAUUCGCGGCUUAUGAGCUUGUUGGUGGGGGAGGGGCUUACCAAGGCUUGGACGGGUAGCCGGCCUGGGAGGGUGACCGGCCACAUUGGGACUACGAUACGGCCCAGACUCCUACGGGGGGCAGCAGUGGGGAAUAUUGCACAAUGGGCGGAAGCCUGAUGCAGCAACGCCGCGUUCGGGAUGACGGCCUUCGGGUUGUAAACCGCUUUCGCCUGUGACGAAGCGUGAGUGACGGUAAUGAGUAAAGAAGCACCGGCUAACUACGUG
rnacentral:rRNA from 1 species